CCCUUAGAUGUUCUGGGCCGCACGCGCGCUACACUGAUUCAUGCAACAAGUUUUGUCCUUGGCUGAUAGGCCUGGGUAAUCUUUGAACGUGAAUCGUGAUGGGGAUAGAUGAUUGCAAUUAUUCAUCUUCAACGAGGAAUUCCUAGUAAACGCAAGUCAUCAGCUCGCAUUGAUUACGUCCCUGCCCUUUGUACACACCGCCCGUCGCACCUACCGAUUGAAUGGUCCGGUGAAAUCUUCGGAUCUGAGAGAUGUCUGAUUAAUUUCGGACGCCUUUUGGAAAAGUUGCUUAAACCUUACCAUUUAGAGGAAGGUGAAGUCGUAACA
rnacentral:rRNA from 1 species